rnacentral:lncRNA from 1 species
GCUCUCAGCUAGGCUGAUCUUUGCCCUAAGCAUAAUCCCGCUAGCCAACCCCUACCCGUUGUGGGUUCUGCUGCCCAGUGCUCUUCAGCAUGUCCUUUAUUCCGGUGGCCGAGGACUCCGACUUUCCCAUCCAAAACCUGCCCUAUGGCGUUUUCUCCACUCAAAGCAACGGCUGACCACUUGGGAUUGGACUGCCUAUUCAGAUGUUUGUCCCUGGAGACAACCAUUGACUUCCUGUGGUUCGUCAUCUAAUGGUGGGACCAUGUGGAAUUUCCCAUCAGCAGUGGCAGGUCAACUGGUGUCAUUGUGCUCGUCUUGUUUAGGCAACUAUACUGUCAAGAGUUUCUAGCCAAAGCCACGGAUUGGUGUGGCCAUCGGUGACCAGAUCUUGGACCUGAGUGUCAUUAAACACCUCUUUACCGGACCUGUCCUCUCCAAACAUCAGCAUGUCUUCGAUGAGACAACUCUCAAUAGCUUUAUGGGCCUCGGCCAAGCGGCAUGGAAGGAGGCAAGAGCAUCCUUACAGAACUUACUGUCUGCCAGCCAAGCCCAGCUCAGAGAUGACAAGGAGCUUCGGCAGCGUGCAUUCACCUCCCAGGCUUCUGCCACGAUGCACCUUCCUGCU